rnacentral:rRNA from 1 species
UACGGGGGGAGCAAGCGUUGUUCGGAUUUACUGGGCGUAAAGGGCGCGUAGGCGGCCACCGCAAGUCGAUUGUGAAAUCUCCGGGCUUAACUCGGAAAGGUCAACCGAUACUGCGGGGCUAGAGUGCAGAAGGGGCAACUGGAAUUCUCGGUGUAGCGGUGAAAUGCGUAGAUAUCGAGAGGAACACCUGCGGCGAAGGCGGGUUGCUGGGCUGACACUGACGCUGAGGAGCGAAAGCGUGGGGAGCGAACAGG